AUUUUCCUACUGUGUGCGUGGAAAAGGCCUAUAUUGAGCCAACAUUUUAACAAUAGGAAUCACUGCUCUUUAUUUGGAGUGUUGACUUGAGUACGGCUUAAGUACCAGAAAAAUAAAGGAGGAUUCCACCCGUGGUAGCACGGGUUCAAAUACGCCUUGGAGACGGCAUAGUGGGGUUAAU
rnacentral:other from 1 species